rnacentral:ncRNA from 1 species
CUGGAUCCUGUCUUAGGGGAUUGUUGCCUACGCCAAGCUCACAAAGAUUUUCUGUUUUUUUUUAAAUAAGCCUGAUAGUUUUAGCCUUUACCUUUAUGUCUGUGAUCCAUUUUUAAUUAACUUUUGAGUGUGGUAUGAUGGUAGGCAAGGCAAGUACCAUCAAUAGGGAAUCAGGAUUCAAUUCUGGAGAUGAAGCUUGAGAAACUACCACAUCCAAGGAAAGCAGUAGGCACACAAAUUACCCAUUCCAGACCUGGAAAAGCACCGUAAUUGGAAUGAAUACACUUUAAAUCCUUUAAUGAGGAUCUCUUGAUGUGCAAGGGUAUUGCUAGCAGCCACUAAUUCCAGCUCCAGUAGCAUAUAUUAAAAUUGCUACAGUGAAAAAGCUUGUAGUUGCAUCUUGGAAGUGGGUAUGUGGGCAUACCCAACUACACGUAUCUGUGCCCCUUGCCUCUUUCUUGGUGCCCCUUUGAUGUUCUUAACUAAGUGUCCUGUGGGUCCUGAAGUAUUUACUUUGAAAAAAAAUUAGAAUGUUUAAAGCAGGCUCAAGCUGCAGGAUACUGGAGCUAAAAAUAUGAGAAUAGGAUCCUUUGUUUCUGUUUUUUAGGUUUCUGGAACUGAAGCCAUGAUUAAGAGGGGGUAUUAGUAUUGUGCCACUAGAGUUGAAAUUCUUGAAACUAUGCAAGAUGGACCACAGCAAGAGCAUUUACAAAGAAUGUUUUCAUUAAUUAAGAAUGAAAGGCAGAAGAGGUUCAAAAACCAUCAACUACCGUCAUAAUUCCAACCAUAAAGGGUGCUGACCCAUGAUGGGGAGACUUUAUUCCCAUAACUUGCUGGUUAGCUUCCGGGAAGCCAGUCUUUGGGUUCUG